rnacentral:lncRNA from 1 species
GAAUAAUGCACAGUUAGUCACAGACAGACAUGGAAGACAGUCGCUCUUUUCAGAGCCUGAUUGAAGUGAUUGACGAAUUUGACUUGGAAACCAUACUGUCGACCACGUCGAGAAGCUGAGUAACAUUCUGCUGUUACAAAGGCACCUCUUAAUAAAAGGAACUUAAGCCAUCCAAUAUAGGACUUCCAUCAAAUCUUGUAGGCUGCAUGGAAGUCGCAUUUACCUUUGCUGUGAACAUCAUGAACACAUACACUAUUUUAAGGUUCAUGUUUACGUAGCAGUGGUGUUGCUGUCCAAUGUGGCGUGUUGUUGCAGCCUAUGGUGGUGAAAGAUAUCUGCAUCAAGUUGCUGUUCCUUGUGCAUCCAAGGUGCUGGUUUUGUGCUACAGAAGUGACAUCCAAUAUUGUGUUUAAUUACUAUUUGUGUCUUUGCAGUUUACCUUUAUAUAUUGAGAAGGAACAAAAAAAAUAGUAACACGGGGAGGUUUAUGUCAAACAAAUAAUAAACAUGUCCAGGAUGGGGGAAUGAGGAGGAAGUUGGGGUGGGGUAUUUGGUUAUGAUUAACUAAAAGAAGUGAGGUAUAUUUUUAAUGAAUAUGCAGUACUUGGUGAUAAGAUCUGUUGGUAACCUAUACCUUCCUGUCAUCCUAUACCUUCCACACUUACACAGCCAUUCCUCAAACCCCAUAAGCACCAGCAUCAAAUCCCACAUCCACUCACAUCCAUUCCUAAAACUCCACAAUCUCCAACAUCAAAUUCACACAAUUGUUGUAUAUCUAUAAUCAAAUUUAUAUAUAAAUAAAUAAAACG